CGUUUCCGGUGCAUUUCAGGAUAAGGUGGCCGGAGCUGGUGCCGUGGCGACUGAUGUUCAAUUUUUGUAGUAGAGGAUUCACUCACUGGGCAGUGCAACCACGUCGUCCCUCGUAUACUACUAUGGCUCGGCCAAGUCGUCGUUGCCACCAAAUGUUAAAGAUUUGCUGAACUCAUCCGAGGAGAAAGCUAACAUAGUAUUGCCACCAAUUGGAAGUGCCCUCCAACAGGUAUACAUUAUCAUAGAAGGCAUGAAAUUUUGGCUGAUUGGUUGCAUGUCGCUUCGGAUUUGGUACUAUCUCCAUCUCUCUCUCUCUCUCACACACACACCACUUUCUCUCCGUCUCUCUCUCUCUCUCAGUAUCUGCGUGUGCUUGCUCACGCAGGUGCAUGUGUGUGUGCGCGCGCGUGUGAUGUGCCGUUGACCGCUGUUGUGUGUGCUUGUGGUGAUGUUGCCUGUGAGUGUGAUUUUUGCCGCUAUCCUGCGUGAUUCUUGGUGCCUCGAGGAUGAGAGGAAGCCACCCAGAAAAUGGCCAGAAGGAAGCACCAUAUGUGCAGGUGUGCUCAUGUGUGUUAGAAGGACAAGGACUCGGCAGAUGAUUCCUCCUUGACUUUCUACCAGCUGCGCCCUGACUGCGUUUACAGCGUCCCCACGCCGUGUUCAAGACCAAGUUCUAACCCACAUAUCCAAUCUCCCUCCAUGGAUCUUGCCUCUCAUUGACCAAGAGCAACAAUUCAACUCAAUUUGAGAUUUACAAAAGAGAUGGACCUAGAGCAAACAACCUGCGAGGCUUGGUUCGUGUCCAUCGACAACGUUGCUGCCGUAUGUCAAGUGUGCUACAUCUGGUCGCUCAAGGCCAAGGAGGUGAUGAAAGGCUUCUUGAUAAGUUUUUAGCUAUCUGAUUCAAAUCCAUAUAGCUUGCGAGAUGAUGGCAUAGUAUUAUCUGACAUUUUAUCUGUAUUUGAUUAAAUGUCUUUCCCUUUAAGAAAUAUAGUGCAAUGGAAUUGAAUUUUAGAAACUACCGUUGGUUACUAUUAUUUGUGAAUUCUAUUUAACGCUUCACGAUUUUUUCCCGGUUCCAGUUCUUGUAAAGGAUAUGAUAAUCAUUUAAACAAAGUUGUCAAACUUAAAGAAAAAGAAUCUUCAACUACUGAAAAACAUUAAGGAUUUGCACAUUUGUGCUUGAUCAUGAAGUGAAAUGGACCACAAAGGGACAUUUUAACUUGUUUUAUUGAGAGGGCAUGAGAGGUCUGGAGGGAUCAUCUUCCUUGGCCCAUGAUAAUACAAAAGGUGUCUUUAUAUAUGUGUUUGUUUUCAUAGAGUAUGAGAGAUGGAGAUGAAUUAUGUCGACGUUCAAAAAGAAUAUUU